CUAAGGAAUAAUUCGGAACCCUACAUUAAUCAAAAUCUUGGUCAGUUUUGAGAGUAUUUACUCUUAAAAUUUUAUAUUCAUAGUAUUCACUUUUUGGGCCUAUAGCUCAGCUGGUUUAGAGCGCACGCCUGAUAAGCGUGAGGUCGGUGGUUCGAGUCCACUUAGGCCCAUACCGAAAAGUCGGUUUUGAAUAUUAUGGGGAAUUAGCUCAGCUGGGAGAGCACCUGCUUUGCAAGCAGGGGGUCAGCGGUUCGAUCCCGCUAUUCUCCAUUGACACGUAAGUGUCAUUCUUGUUCUUUGAAAACUAGAUAAUAUUAUUUUCUGUAAUAAUUAUAUUUUUAUAUAUAAUUGAACCGAGAAAUAACCAUUGUGUUAUUUUUGAGUUUUUUAAUUAGUUUUAAUCGCUAAAACUCAAAUAAUUUAUAAUCCGUAGGAUUAU
rnacentral:tRNA from 1 species